rnacentral:tRNA from 1 species
GGGUUGUGGCUUAGUGGUAGAGUGUUUGCCUAGCAUGUAUGAGGCACUGGGUUCAAUCCUCAUUACCACA